CGAUAGUAGAGGGGCAUUAUGUUUUCUGGUCUGUGCGUUCGUUCGUUCGUUCGUCCGUCUGUCACGCUUCAGGUUAAAGUUUUUGGUCGAGGUAGUUUUUGAUGAAGUUGAAGUCCAAUCGACUUCAAACUUGGUACACAUGUUCCCUAUGAUAUGAUCUUUCUAAUUUUAAUGCCAAAUUAGAGAUUUUACCCCAAUUUCACGGUCCACUGAACAUAGAAAAUGAUAGUGCGAGUGGGGCAUUCGUGUACUGAGGACACAUUCUUGUUA
rnacentral:lncRNA from 1 species